AUGUCUGCGCCCAGCGUGACCCCCAUCCCCAUCACCACCAUCUCCGAGCUGAAGCAGCACCACUCGCAGCUCGUCCGCCUCGGCCUCGCCUCGCACCCCGCCCACGCGCGCCGCCUCCUCGCCUUCCUCGCGCGCGACCCGGCCGGCCUCCCCUACGCCGCGCGCCUCCUCGCGCACCACCCGGACCCGCACCCGGCGCUCUUCAACCCGCUCCUCGCCUCCCUCCCGCCGCGCCACGCCGCGGCGUUCCUCUCCCUCAUGCUCUCCCUGCCCCUGCACCCCGACCACUUCACCCUGCCCCGCAUCCUCCCCGCCGCGCCGCUCCCGCUCGCCGCCCAGCUCCACGCGCUCCUCCUCAAGCUCAACUUCCACUCCCACGCGCACUCCUUCAACGCGCUCCUCGCCGCCUACCUCGCCAACGCGCGCGCGGACCUCGCCUUCCGCCUCUUCGGCGGCGGCGGCUCGUCGGCGGUCCUCGACGUCGUGUCGUGGACCACCAUGGUGGGCGGGCUGUGCAGGCUGGGCCUCGUGGACGACGCGCGGGAGCUGUUCGACGGAAUGCCCGAGAGAAACCUUAUUUCCUGGAACGCGAUGAUCUCCGGGUAUGUCAAGGCUGGGCGGUUCUUGGACGCGCUGGAGGUGUUUGACCAAAUGAGGGCGACGGGGCUGGAGGGGAAUGGGUUUGUCGCGGCGAGCGCGGUGGUGGCGUGCACGGGUGCUGGCGCGCUGGCCCGUGGGAGGGAGGUGCACCGGUGGGUGGAGCAGAGCGGGAUACAGAUGGAUGCGAAGCUAGCCACAGCGGUGGUCGACAUGUACUGCAAGUGUGGGUCUGUCGAGGAGGCAUGGCGCGUAUUCCAGCGGCUGCCGACGAAGGGGCUCACGUCGUGGAACUGUAUGAUCGGUGGGUUGGCGGUGCACGGGAGGUGCAAGGACGCCAUUGAGUUGUUCCACCAGAUGGAGAGGGAAGAUGUGGCGCCCGAUGAUGUCACGCUGGUGAACGUCCUCACUGCCUGCGCCCACACCGGCAAUGUCAGCGGCGGUCGCCACUACUUCGACUACAUCGUGCAGAGAUACGGCAUUGAGCCCAAGAUGGAGCAUUACGGCUGCAUGGUCGACCUGUUCGGGAGGGCAGGGCUGCUGGACGAAGCCAAGAAGGUGAUCGACGAUAUGCCGAUGGAGCCUGACAUUGGUGUCCUCGGAGCACUCUUCGGAGCAUGCAAGAUCCACAGGGACCUCGAUCUAGGCGAGGCGAUCGGAUGGCGUGUCAUCGAGCUGGAUCCCCAGAACAGCGGACGGUACAUGCUGCUGGCCAACCUCCUUGCCAGCGCCGGCCGAUGGGGAGACGUGGCCAGGGUCCGGCAGCUGAUGGACGAGCGCAACGUGAGCAAGGAGGCGGGGCGGUCCGUGAUCGAGAUCGACAGCGAGGUCUGUGAGUUCCAGUGCGGGACCCUGCGCCAUCCCGAGGAGAAGGAGAUAUUCGCCAUGGCGAAGGACAUGAUGAGGAAGAUCGGGCUGGAGGGCUACGCGCCGGACACCAGCGACGUGCUGCACGACGUCGCGGAGGAAGCGAAGGAGGCGUCGCUGCUGUACCACAGCGAGAAGCUGGCCAUCGCGUUCGGGCUGCUGCGCACGAGGCCAGGUGAUACGAUGCGCGUCACGAAGAACCUGCGGGUUUGUCGAGACUGCCAUGAGGCUACCAAGUUGAUAUCUCGAGUGUUUGAGCGGGAGAUCGUGGUGAGGGACAGGAACCGGUUCCAUCAUUUCAGGGAUGGGGUGUGUUCGUGUAAUGAUUAUUGGUGA
rnacentral:rRNA from 1 species